rnacentral:rRNA from 1 species
AGAGUUUGAUCCUGGCUCAGGAUGAACGCUAGCUACAGGCUUAACACAUGCAAGUCGAGGGGCAGCAGAUCGAAAGCUUGCUUUUGAUGCUGGCGACCGGCGCACGGGUGAGUAACGCGUAUCCAACCUUCCCUAUAGUAGAGAAUAGCCCGGCGAAAGUCGGAUUAAUGCUCUAUGUUGUAUUUAGAAGACAUCUGAAGAAUACCAAAGGUUUACCGCUAUAGGAUGGGGAUGCGUCUGAUUAGGUAGUAGGCGGGGUAACGGCCCACCUAGCCGACGAUCAGUAGGGGUUCUGAGAGGAAGGUCCCCCACAUUGGAACUGAGACACGGUCCAAACUCCUACGGGAGGCAGCAGUGAGGAAUAUUGGUCAAUGGACGGAAGUCUGAACCAGCCAAGUAGCGUGCAGGAUGACGGCCCUAUGGGUUGUAAACUGCUUUUAUAUAGGGAUAAAGUCGGGGACGUGUCCCCGUUUGUAGGUACUAUAUGAAUAAGGACCGGCUAAUUCCGUGCCAGCAGCCGCGGUAAUACGGAAGGUCCAGGCGUUAUCCGGAUUUAUUGGGUUUAAAGGGAGCGCAGGCUGAUGAUUAAGCGUGACGUGAAAUGUAGCCGCUCAACGGCUGAACUGCGUCGCGAACUGGUUAUCUUGAGUGAGUUCGAUGUUGGCGGAAUUCGUGGUGUAGCGGUGAAAUGCUUAGAUAUCACGAAGAACUCCGAUUGCGAAGGCAGCCAACAAGGCCUUUACUGACGCUAAAGCUCGAAGGUGCGGGUAUCG